GGGACACGUGAAACCCUGUGGGAAGCAGGAGGGACCACCCUCCAAGGCUAAAUACUACCUAGUGACCGAUAGCGUAUAGUACCGUGAGGGAAAGGUGAAAAGAACCCCGGGAGGGGAGUGAAAUAGAACCUGAAACCCUGCACUUACAAGCUGUGGAAGCACAUUUCUUGUGUGACCGCGUACUUUUUGUAGAACGGGCCAACGAGUUACGUUAAGUAGCAAGGUUAAGCACUUAAGGUGCGGAGCCGUAGCGAAAGCGAGUUUUAACUGAGCGUUCAGUUACUUGACGUAGACCCGAAACCGGGCGACCUACCCAUGAGCAGGAUGAAGCGAAAGUAAAAUUUCGUGGAGGUCCGAACCCACGAGCGUUGAAAAGCUCGGGGAUGACUUGUGGGUAGCGGUGAAAUUCCAAUCGAGCCCGGAGAUAGCUGGUUCUCCCCGAAAUAGCUUUAGGGCUAGCCUCAAGGUGAGAGAUACGGAGGUAGAGCACUGAAUGUCCUAGGGGGUAUUGCACCUACCGAAGACUAUCAAACUCCGAAUGCCGUCAUCUUAUACUUGGGAGUCAGACUGUGGGUGAUAAGAUUCAUAGUCGAAAGGGCAACAGCCCAGAUCGUCAGCUAAGGUCCCUAAAUGUAAGUUAAGUGGUAAAGGAUGUGGGAUUGCACAGACAACCAGGAUGUUGGCUUAGAAGCAGCCACUCAUUCAAAGAGUGCGUAAUAGCUCACUGGUCGAGUGAUCCUGCGCCGAAGAUUUCCGGGGCUAAAACUUACUACCGAAGCUACGGCAUCAGUAAUGAUGGGUAGGGGAGCUUCCCAUACGGGUUGAAGCAUGACCGUAAGGACAUGUGGACAGUAUGGGAGUGAGAAUGUUGGCAUGAGUAGCGAGAUGUGGGUGAGAAUCCCACAGGCCGUAAACCCAAGGUUUCCAGGGGAAGGUUCGUCCGCCCUGGGUUAGUCGGGACCUAAGCUGAGGCCGAAAGGCGUAGGUGAUGGACAACAGGUUGAUAUUCCUGUACUACCGAUAACCGUUUGAGAGAAGGGAUGACACAGUAGGAUAAGCUAAG
rnacentral:rRNA from 1 species